rnacentral:rRNA from 1 species
UGACCUCAAAUCAGGUAGGACUACCCGCUGAACUUAAGCAUAUCAAUAAGCGGAGGAAAAGAACUAACAAGGAUUCCCCUAGUAACUGCGAGUGAAGCGGGAAGAGCUCAAUUUUGAUCUGGCGGUCUUUGGCCGUCCGAGUGUAU